rnacentral:lncRNA from 12 species
CACAACGGGGAAGCAAUGCCCAAAGUAUGUCAUGUCUUGGAUUUCAAGCCAACUCACUGAAAUCGAGUAAAGAUGAGGAAAGAGAAGUUUCUGUUUGUGCUCCAAUGUCCUCAUCACUCACCACAUAGUUCUGCUGAUGGGAAAGAGAGGCUGCCGGAAGGAAACAGAAGUUCAUCAAGGGCUGGCAAAAUAUUAAUCUGGAAGCUCACGGAUGGGCAGUGAUGCGGGCUCUCCGGCAGCGGGCGUCCCCUUCAUGGUCAUGCUACCUGUGGGCUGGACGAGCCCACCACCCCGUCCUUGCAAGGGGGCGGGGGGCACUCACCGUGACGCACCACUCAUCCUCUGUUCUAGAUCUACCUCCACAUUACUUUCUGAGACACGAGGCCGGGAGGGGAAUGGAGACAGAAAGGGAGCAGCAGAGUUCAGCAAGAAGCACAGGGUUAUAAACUCCAGAAGAGAUGUUCCCUCCUGGCUGAAACUUGGCAGCUGGCCUGAGGAUCUUCCCUGUGGCUGGUGCUGGACCUGCCUGCUCAUCAGCCUGUUGAGAUCUGCUUGCAUUUCCACAGCAAUCACGGCAGGGGCCAUAAGCUUCUGGAAAACUCGCCAUUGGAAGCCGCUCCUAUGUAAAACCUAG